rnacentral:rRNA from 1 species
CAGUAGCCACGGUAAAACGGAGGGGGCUAGCGUUGUUCGGAAUUACUGGGCGUAAAGCGCACGUAGGCGGCUUGGUAAGUUAGAGGUGAAAGCCCGGAGCUCAACUCCGGAAUUGCCUUUAAGACUGCCGAGCUAGUAGGUGAGAGAGGUAAGUGGAAUUCCGAGUGUAGAGGUGAAAUUCGUAGAUAUUCGGAAGAACACCAGUGGCGAAGGCGGCUUACUGGCUCAUUCUAGACGCUGAGGUGCGAAAGCGUGGGGAGCAAACAGGAUUAGAUACCCCAGUAGUCCCUGUCUCUUAUAC